rnacentral:lncRNA from 11 species
CUCAUGGAGGAAGGACUGAAUUGCUCUAUUUGUAUAUAGUUAUGUAAAUAAAGCUAAUAACCGUUGGAUUUUCAACCGAACCUUCGUCUGCUGGAGUGUUUUGACCAGUGCUGUUUAUCCACAUGGGAAGACAGUCUGGAGAAGGAGGAUUUGAAAGAGAGAACUGGCUUCAUCUCACUGAUCAACACAGCCGGAUCAUGAAUACCAGAGUGAAGGAAGGAUUCUGAGGGCAAAAGGAAAAGGUGAGUGAUAGGGGCCCAAGGGCUGCAACUGCAGGGUUAACUUU